rnacentral:rRNA from 1 species
AGUGAAUGCUGGCGGUAGGCCUAACACAUGCAAGUCGAACGGCAGCACAGUAAGAGCUUGCUCUUACGGGUGGCGAGUGGCGGACGAGUGAGGAAUACAUCGGAAUCUACUUUUUCGUGGGGGAUAACGUAGGGAAACUUACGCUAAUACCGCAUACGACCUACGGGUGAAAGCAGGGGAUCUUCGGACCUUGCGCGAUUGAAUGAGCCGAUGUCGGAUUAGCUAGUUGGCGGGGUAAAGGCCCACCAAGGCGACGAUCCGUAGCUGGUCUGAGAGGAUGAUCAGCCACACUGGAACUGAGACACGGUCCAGACUCCUACGGGAGGCAGCAGUGGGGAAUAUUGGACAAUGGGCGCAAGCCUGAUCCAGCCAUACCGCGUGGGUGAAGAAGGCCUUCGGGUUGUAAAGCCCUUUUGUUGGGAAAGAAAAGCAGCAGGUUAAUACCCCGCUGUUCUGACGGUACCCAAAGAAUAAGCACCGGCUAACUUCGUG